GCAGCUAACGCAUUAAGCACUCCGCCUGGGGAGUACGGUCGCAAGACUGAAACUCAAAGGAAUGACGGGGGCCCGCACAAGGGAGCAUGUGGUUUAAUUCGAAGCAACGCGAAGAACCUUACCAGGUCUUGACAUCCUCUGACAAUCCUAGAGAUAGGACGUCCCCUUCGGGGGCAGAGUGACAGGUGGUGCAUGGUUGUCGUCAGCUCGUGUCGUGAGAUGUUGGGUUAAGUCCCGCAACGAGCGCAACCCUUGAUCUUAGUUGCCAGCAUUCAGUUGGGCACUCUAAGGUGACUGCCGGUGACAAACCGGAGGAAGGUGGGGAUGACGUCAAAUCAUCAUGCCCCUUAUGACCUGGGCUACACACGUGCUACAAUGGACAGAACAAAGGGCAGCGAAACCGCGAGGUUAAGCCAAUCCCACAAAUCUGUUUCAGUUCGGAUCGCAGUCUGCAACUCGACUGCGUGAAGCUGGAAUCGCUAAUGAGAG
rnacentral:rRNA from 2 species